UACAGAGGUCCCAAGCGUUGUUCGGAUUCAUUGGGCGUAAAGCGCGUGUAGGCGGCUUGGCAAGUCGGGUGUGAAAUCCCUCAGCUUAACUGAGGAAGUGCGCCCGAAACUGCCGAGCUUGAGUACCGGAGAGGGUGGCGGAAUUCCCCAAGUAGAGGUGAAAUUCGUAGAUAUGGGGAGGAACACCGGUGGCGAAGGCGGCCACCUGGACGGAUACUGACGCUGAGACGCGAAAGCGUGGGGAGCAAACAGG
rnacentral:rRNA from 1 species